UACGGGGGGGGCAAGCGUUGUUCGGAAUUACUGGGCGUAAAGGGCGCGUAGGCGGUUCGAUAAGUCAGCUGUGAAAACCAUGGGCUUAACUCAUGGCCUGCAGUUGAGACUGUCGGGCUGGAGUGUGGGAGAGGAGAGUGGAAUUCCUGGUGUAGAGGUGAAAUUCGUAGAUAUUGGGAAGAACACCAGUGGCGAAGGCGGCUAACUGGUCCAGCACUGACGCUGAGGUGCGAAAGCGUGGGGAGCAAACAGG
rnacentral:rRNA from 1 species